GACAGAGGUGCCAAGCGUUAGGCGGAAUCACUGGGCUUAAAGCGUGUGUAGGCGGCCCGGUAAGUCCGCUGUGAAAGUCGGGGGCUCAACCCUCGAAUGCCGGUGGAUACUGUCGGGCUAGAGUGCGGAAGAGGCGAGUGGAAUUCCUGGUGUAGCGGUGAAAUGCGCAGAUAUCAGGAGGAACACCAAUUGCGAAGGCAGCGCGCUGGGACGUAACUGACGCUGAGACGCGAAAGCGUGGGGAGCAAACAGG
rnacentral:rRNA from 1 species